GAGGAGCCUGCCACGGUGGGCGUCUCGCCGCCACUGUAACUUAACUGUCGUCUAGUGUAAAGUGAAGAAACAGGAGGGGCGGCCGUCACUUUCCCCACUCAGAAAGUUACAGUCCUCGAUCGGAAACUCACCGGCUGCCAGUUGGUGCUUGUGUCAGGUUCAAGACCUUUGUGCUGCAGUGAAAGACUGCCAAGAGAACUGUACCACCACAUCUCAUGGGACCCAACACUGCUUCAAGCCUUAAACUCCCGUCAUCUGUUCAAGAAGGGACUGUGCUUUAGGCCCCUACUCCUGCUUCAAGAGACUGCUGUCUGUCAAACUGUUGUGUAAAAUAUAGAUACUAAUGUUGUCUGUGGAGAGCAUUUGGAUUCAUUUGUUUACUGUUAUUUUUUUAACAGAUGAUUUUAUCCAGAGUAACACAUAACUAAUGAUAAUGAAGCAGACUUAGACGCUGUCCCCGGAGCAACUGGCUUUAAGGGCCUAAACUGCUCAAGGGUGCAAUCAUAAAAUCACUUUGCCAGCCAUGGGAUUUGACCCAACACUGUCCUAACCCAUAGUUCCACACAUUUAGCAUAAAACAGUUCAUUGUCCCACUGCCCAAAGCAGGGGUCUCCAACUCCGGUCCUGGAGAGCUACUGUCCAGUAGGUUUUCUAUCCUACCUGGCUUCUGAUGAGCCACACCUGUUCUCAGGUAAAUACCAGGACUGGAGUUAGAGAAUCUGGCCUAGAGUUACUUCUCUGUGUGGCUUGUGUUCCUGUAUAUUCAGUUUAUGUUGCUGCCCAUGUCUCAGCUGCUCAGUGGACAUUAUUAUUACCUCAGCCCUCUAGGCUUGGGGGUUUGUAUCCCACCUUCAUCCUCUGUGUGGAGUUUCCAUCUCCCCAUGUCCCACUUAGUUUCUUUCAGGUAUGUUAGUUUCCUCCCAAAGGUCAAAGACAUACAGUAAAGCUAAUUGGUGUCUGUAUUGUGUGGAAACAUCAGUUUAUGGAAGAUGGAUGGGUAGAUGCUGCCUGCAUUGUGAACUAUAUGUUUCUCUCAGUUUAUGGUCAGGUUGUGAGUUAGUUAUGGUCAGGUUGUGAGUUAGUAUUAAUAGUAAAAUAUUUUGUGAGUAAUAUUUUAGUAUCUGAUACUGGGAUCAGUGCUACAGAAGGCUUACUGAGCUUCUGGGUUAUUUUGUCUUUGUUGAAGACAAUACUUGUUGAAGCUUGUCAUUUUCUUAAUGCAUUUAUUGUUUUGUUGUUAUUGGACUGGAUUUACCUUCCAAUACCAUUCAAGACCCCUUACAGUAAAAAAAUACAUAAACCAAACAUAUACUGGUAAUACGCGUUACACAUAAUAAAUAAAUGAAAAUUGUAAAUUUACUUAAAGGCGCAUUUUGUCCUUUUGCGUUAGCGCUUCUGUAAGGGUUUACGUAAAUAUGAAUUUUACUCAAGUCGGUUUUUCGAGUCGAGAGCCGCCAGCACUCAAACUUACAUAAUUUAUAUGGCUGACAUUUUCCACUAGAUGGCGUAAAAACAACAGUCAGUGACCGUCUCGGCCAUUUCUUCGAAAAGGGGACACCUUUCAUAUGUGUAGUAAUUUACAUCUGAAGUAAGAUACAAUGAAGAAUUCAGGAUAAGUAAUUAAAAGCAGGAAUAUACAGUUCCUUGUUAUGUAAUUUGCAAAUGGGAAAAUACACAAAACAAGUAAGGUCUACAAUGUAAUGCUUGGGUAAAGUCUAUAAUAACACUGAAAUGUAAUGUCUUUCUGCUGAGGUUCACAUUUUCUUAUGUGAAUUUUCAAGGCUAAGACAAAAAUGUCAGUGGGAGUAUUUGGGAUUUGGUUUGUAUACACAGGAAAUGCUGUACAUAUCUCAAAGACACAAGAGUGGGAGGGUGUUGAGCUGUGUGGAAAAAAAUAAAUAAAAUACAGAUAUUCAAGACAUUCAAAAAUUCAGAAAUGUCUUUAUGAAUAAACUGUACAAAAAUACAUGUCUGUAAUACAUAAGUCCUUUAUAGUAUACAUGAAUUGAGUUCAGAAGAUUCAUAUUAAAUUGGGAUAAGUAGAGUGCA